rnacentral:lncRNA from 1 species
UUGCUGGAACCCGGCGGCGUCUCGAUGGAUGCUCGAACCUCCAUCAAUGGUGGCUGCGACGAGAGAUCCGAGGAGAGCUCCAAGGUCUGCAGAGUGAUCGAAGGCUUCUCCGUCUGUAGUAACGGUGACGGAAGAGAGUAAACGAGAAUAUAUAAUGCGGCUUAUGUGACGCCGAUUAUAAAGCGCCCACGUCAUCCGGUCUAUUUUUGUUUAUUCUCCAACGACUCGACCUCAAAUGGUGAUGAUAACGACAAGGAUGGAUAUGAUGAGUGUGAAACUAGAAAAUUUUGGUUGGCGAGGGCGUUGUCUGAGUUAUUGCAGAUCCUCUACGCAAACAGGAAGUGGUUGGAAGACGACUUCUCUACUGCUGUUUCUUGGAGCAAUUUUCUUUCUUUGUUUUCUUUUCCUUUUUUUUUUCCUUUGGUAGGAGCUGCAAUUUUCUUGUUAUUUGAUGCAUGGA